rnacentral:sRNA from 1 species
GGAUAGGAGGGUGAAAUAGCUGUGACAUGUCACCCCAUUGAUCACUAAGGUUGAUUCGGAUGAUCUGGCUGGCCAGGUGGGUGUCCCCUUCCUCCCUCAUGGCUCCAUGUGCAUCCCUCCUGGAGCUGUGGGCUCAAUUGAAGAGCAUGGCCCUCCCGCCCAAGAACGAUCCAGGGGUAAAGGGGAGCUGUGGAUACCCAGCUACAACCCUCCAACAAGCUGCUCAAUAAUGA